GGGUGUGUGUAUGGGUUUCCCUGUGAGCGUGUCUUCUCAAGGGGCUAGCGACUCGGCGCAGCUCUGAAGAGUGGAGAUUGGCGAUUUGGGGUGCUGGAUACGCCUCGGUUCCAAGCUGUGGCUGGAGGAUCCCCGCCGUCGUGUUGUUCCGGCUGUCAGUGCUACUUCCGCGGCUGCUCCUUGGGCGCUGCUUCGCCGUCCACGCGAAUUGUGCCGUUGCUGUUCUGGUCAUCCAUCUCGCCCUGCGUCUGCUCGGCCUGCUGCUUUGCCCUGCGUGCAAUCUGGUUUGUAUUGUUUCCUCUGGUAUUAGAUUUGUUGUCGUGGGCUGUGUUCGGUACGGUGUUUCUUGAGCAACGAUGUCGUUGGAUUAGGCGCUGAUUUUUAUGGACGCCGCUUAUGUGCUACAUUUGUUGGGGGGGGGGCACCGUGCACCGUGGAGGAGAAUGGCAGAUUGUUGUUGGCUGGAGCUUCCCUUCAGGCUUAACUUACUGCUUUAGUUACCAACUUUGACAGAAGUAGAUAGGAUCGAUGCACCCACCGCAUAGAGCUCAAUGAAGCUCGUCAAUCCAGCAAUACAUGGCAUCGGGUAGCGUCGCGACACGUCAACCAACCACGCAGCCACCAUUGUCUUACCUGCUCUAAGCAUGCACUUAACGUUGUUUCAGAUGGAAUGCAUUCAACAUACAUGGUGGAAGGGAGUUGCCCCCAGGCCCCCAGUACUGAACCACGACGUCCACAAUAAGGAGAUGGAGAUCAUCGUCCCAGGGGUAAUCAAUUUAAACAUUGCUAACAAUAUGCGUGCACUUGCCAGAGAGGUGCAUUCAAUACUUCCCUACUUGAGGGGAUCGCAUAUACUAAAUUAAAAUGCAGUGAUCACAUAACAGAUUAUAAAUUGUUUUCUUAAUUAACACACACUGUACACCUGCUUUCCCAAAUCGGCAUUACCAUAUCACCGUAUAUCCAACCUUUAGGCGCAACACGCAACCUACAAUUGGAGUGAUGGUUCAGUAAGAAAGAACAUUUAGCACAAAGAAAGAUGAAUUUUGAAAAAAAAAAAACUUGCAGUGAAAACAGAAAAAAUCGAUGCUCGACUGACUACUAAUACCAUCUCAAAAUAUGCAAGAUGCAAGAUGCUUGACUGACUACUAAUACCAUCCAAAAAUCAAUGCUCAACUGACUACUAAUACCAUCUAAAAAUAAGAGGUCAAACCAAUCAAGUGAAAGACUUUUGAACUGGAAUUAGACACAUUGUACAUCAUCAAUCAUUAGGAGCUGGACCCCAUAGAAUCUUUUCGGCUUCAGUUGUAUGAUUAGAAUUUGGCUUCAAACUAACUAAACUAAAGAGUUUUUUUUCCUUGUCCACUCUUCUGUUGCUAAAUUAUGAUCCAUAAAGUUAUAGUGCAUCUUGGAAAGGUUAUAAUAGUUUUGGUUACAGGGUUGAUGAUAUAUCUAUGGAUAUUAUGUUGACUGAUAGCCCAUGGUUCAUCUGAGCUCACUUUGGCGCGAAUGCGGUGAUGAAGGUUCGACCUGCAGUUUCAGAUUUCCCUUGACUCAUUCAGUGCAGCUUCCUUCGUGACGUAUGCCACAUGCUAAUAUCAACUUUCUCAUUGUAUAUAAAUUUUCAGGAGAAAAAAGGAAAAAGUUGAUACGGUUUUCCUUGCAGCUCAAUUUUCACACCCUUCCCAGGUUAAUAUUCACUGCUUUCUUUGGACCAACUUUAUGCUGCCUUUUCUCUGCACACACCUCAUCAAAACUGAACCAAGAGGCAUCACAUAGGUUUAGAUGGCGUGUGUGAACAUGGUUUAAGAUAUGAUAUUUCUUGGAGAGAGCAAACUAACCUUUUCAAUUUCACGAUCUAUUAACUAAAAUAUUGAUCGACGGCACAUUCUGAUGCUUCAACUUUGUUUUUGCCUUAUUGUCACUUAAUUAGGUAAUAUAGUAAGAAAGAAUACUGAAUGAGACUCGAAGGAAUUUUGAUGUCAACUCGUGAUUAGCAGAACUUAAAAUGAUCUCUUUAGACAAGUAUCAGAUUAAAGAAACCAAUAUAGAACCAUAUUAAAUAGGGACUUAGCUGGAAGGUGAGAAAGAAAUUACAAUUGCUAUUGGUGCAACAAUACAAAAUUUAGCUUAGCUAUCUAUCAGAUUUCUUGACUCAAAUUCCAGCUAGCAAAGACGAAGAUUGAAUCCCCAAAAAUCCAUGCUAAACCAAAUAUAGACUUGUUGAUUUACCUCAAUUGAAUUAUUUAUAAAACAUUAUACAUGAACUUGUUUUAAAUACAUGACAAAAUCUAGCUGAGCUAAACCUUCCUGGAAUUUUAUGUGGAUUUUUAGAGUUUAGACCAAGGAGAAAUGGGGAAAUAAUUCGGGACAGAGGGUAGUGCACACGGGAGCCUCAGAAUAGCGGGUAGCCUAGCGAUGUUUAUAGGAAAAAGGUGGCUUUUGUCUCAUCAGUGAGUUUGUUGCCCAAUGCCCGUGCUACUGAUAUAAUGUCGUUCAUGACAUACCUCGCCCAGUUCAAAUUCGGGAUGUCAUCCAAAUUUUAUGAGAGCCACAAAAUAUGUUGGAAGAAUAACUACGGAUCAAAUGGACCUCGAACUUUAUCUCACCGUGAACACCACAUCAAUCACAUUCUAACAGGAGGCCUCAGCCAUCGCCAAGGCAUCUCAUGGAACAUGGGGGAAACUCCAAAUCGAACAGAGCAACACAAAAAUAGGAAUCAGGCAUGAGGAAAGGGGAAUAAGCUAACCUGGGUAAUGGGAUCAGCAGGCCCAGGAGGGUGCCACCAUGCCAGUGGCCUCCACAAGAAUAAUCUUGCACACGAUGUCGCCUCAAGCAAUGGAUCGCCAACACCAGAACCGAAGCACUUGUUGUUCAUGGUUUCAGUUAUGAGAUAUCCCGUGAACUGAGGUACAAAUCACAAAUAGGUCAGCUCAUGAGCUAAAGAAUAUAAUCUUAUCCAAGAAAAGAUAAAAUAGUCCGCAGCAACAAAGCUUUAUUAAGUUCUUUACUAAGAAAGCUAACUUAGAAAUUACAGCCCAAACAGAGAAUAAAUGGUUUAGAACAGGCAUAAAUCUGAUCCAUCUUCCAUCAUCAAUAAUAAAAACAGGAAAUCUUGAAAUCCUUGAUCCAAACAUCAUAAGUCACAAAAGUCGAAGCAAACAGUGAACUGAAAAUUACUCUGAAAAAAACUUUUCUUUUGUUGAUUCUAAACGAAGCCCAUGCCCUGUUACUCCAUUCUUUUGUUGACUCUAAAUGAAGCGUGAUUUAUAUGUUCGAUUACAGCCAUGACUUGGCGAUAUUCUAAAGAAUAUAACUAUAAGACCAGAGAUAGAAAACUAACAGAGAAUGCUGAGAAUAGAGAACACCCGUAAUAUAGUAAUGGUACAAAAGUUUGGUCGUAAGGUUGUGUGUGGCCGACAAGGGUGGCUCAGGGAGCGCACCAUGCAGCAGCGUGCGAGCGCUGCGGAAGAUGGGGAUGGGAGGGAGGUGUUUGCGUGCGCAUUUGGUGAUCAAAUGGCUCAGGAGGGGACCGAUCUUGGGAUAGGAUCAGUCAACCAACAUGUAGUAGUGACCUGACCGGAAAGGUAGGAUUUGCAUGAGCAGGUCAACAGAGAAUUAUAAUGUCAGCAUAUAGCAAUAAAGCCAAUGAGCACUAUCAAGUUACCAAAAAGAGGGCGUUUACCAACAGCUUACCGUUAAUUUGCAGUCGUACCACUCAGUUAAAAUUAAGAAUAACCACACCUCAUUCACUUAUGAUUCAAACAACAUGAACAAUUAUCCGUGAAGUUCAUUUCUAAACUACGCGCUUAUUAAGAUAGGUGUUUACCGGUAAUAGGGUAAAAUGGUACAUAAGUUUUAACUUCAGGAUAGGUAUUUACUGUAUUUUUCAGAGAUGGACAUGCGGGUCACCCCAUUAACUCAACAAGUAGAUAUAUUAGCUAGCUAUUGGUGUUCUCAGAAACCAUAAAUAGUUUAAACCGAAUUAUGUGUGCUUGUGCAGAUAGUAUAGAUGUAUGAUGGAUUCCUAGUUGCCGUGAUCAAUGAUCAAGGAGAUGCUUCUACAUGCAUACGCAUAGAACUAAGCAUUCAUUCUUCUCCUUGAUUCUAUUCUCCUGUUAAGCUCUCAAAUUUCUACACAUUUAUGAUAGAAAAAUGUGAUACUACAACUGCAGUUUAUAUUGCUGUAUUUAUAUGCUUCCAUACACAUGCUAUGAAGCACGAAACAUGACAAGGAAAAUACAAAGGAUAGCCUAAAGCAAAACAAUGGGGUUAACUAAAAUUUACCUAUUCUAAACUUGUUUCUUUCUGAACAGAGCAUCAACUCAAACCACAUAUAGCAGUGAAGCAACAAUGAUAUUUUCUCUAAAAAUCCAACACAGUGCCACAGACAGCACACAACACACUUAAGUACAAAAAAAAUCAUCAUUUUCCUUUGAAAGGGAGGGCGUUGGUUGGGUAAUGUGUACCAAAAAAUCAUGCCAAAUUUGAACGAAAGCCUGGGCAACCACUGAGACAUAAAGGAGUCAGAGGGGAGGUAAGGAGGAUUGGGAGUAGGUCAUCUAUGCAAGGAAGAUCACGGGGACCAAAAUCCUACAUGAGACUGAAAUGGAAAGGUUGCCCAAGGCAGACAAGAAUCAUCGGAAUCAUUUUCGAAUCUAAAAUUGGAAUAUAGACAGCAGUGACGAUAGUUGUAGAUGCAGAAUUAUGCUUAAGAGCACAACUGAAAUCUAUAACCGUCGUAUUCAUGUGCAGACAUAUCUUCAUCACAUCAUCGUUUUCCAAGUAUAGUUAAUAAGAAAUCCGAUUCACAUAUGUCCUGGUCAUCCCAUUUAUGCUGAAUAUAUUCAAGGCACUUCUGUAACAAUUUUUUUUAAAUACCCACUGUUAUCUAAUAUCUAGUAAACUGGGUACAAAAGACGGAGGCAAGAAGCCCAUGUUCUCUCAGAUCGAGUAUAUCCCUGUCCUGAAUGGUGUAUCCAAGGUUCCCCAUGUCAUGUUUAAGUACGAAUCACUUGUUUAUUGUGACAUGGACCACUGAUAUCUGAAAUAUAUGAAAAGACCCAUCAGAGCCCAGGAAAAAUAUGCCCUCCUAAAAGUAAAAGAAUGUCCCUGCUAUUUAAAAGAAGAUUGGCACUAAUAAGAGGCUAAGGAGAAGCAAAAUAAGCAAAGUAAAUGUCUGAAAAAUAAGAGCAGAGCAUCUUCGACAUUACCUAGAUACAUUCAGAAAAUCAAAAGCACCUGAACUAACAACUAAAACAGUGCCCUGAAAUAGAAUCCCAGACAUGAAGCUAUAAGCAUAAAUAACAACCAAGGCAAAAUCAAAAGAAAUAAAAAUAUGUGCAUCACAAAAUACUAUUAGGAGAUCAGGUCUACUGUACAAAUAUGAGGCAGCUGCCAUACAAUCUCUAGAUGCGAAAGAGCUGCAUUCAUAACUAUAUAUGCAUUAGCAAGAUAAAUCACUCUACCGAUUUGUAAGCAGCAAACCAGCUCAAAUGUAGUCAUCAUCAGUAACUCUUGCUUCGAUAAUAACAGCCAACCACCAUGUAUAUCCAUCCAUGAUACAUAAAGGGGGAGAAGUAAAUUACGUUGAAUGAGAAUUAAUUAAUUGCCACGCGGCUGCAGCCGCCAAACAUGCCACGGUUAAAUACAUGGAUUUUGUCAGGGAUCUGGGUACAUGAAAAUAGACAAAGUAACACAUCAAUUAGAAGGAGCCAAAACAAGCAGAGGUGGUCAGUGAGAAUACCCGCAGGCGCCCCAACAGGCUAUAGACACCAUGUCACCGUGACAUGAGCCGAGACAUGGUGCCUAACAUGAGCCGAGACAGGCCGGCGAAACUGUAACAUGACGUGCAACAUGUAAGAAAGUAAGCAUCCAGGGAAGAUAGGCUGGCAGGCCAAGCAACUAAAUUAGAACACAUACACCCAUUUCUUGCACAGAGCAGUGCUUGUAAUCCCUUUAUUUAUUUUCAUUAACAAAGUGAGAAUGCAGGGUUAUUUUUUCAUUAAAAAAUGUGAGAAUGCAGGGCGGAGAAGGAUGAGGAAGCAACGAUAGAAAGCUCUAUUACCUCACACGGCCAUUCGAACUAAUCACCAGGAGACAAAAGAACAUAUUAGGCUCUAGGAAUUAACACAACCUCUAUUGCUUUGUUCAUACACACUCAAUUCUGAAAAAGGAAAACAUAAGCUUCAGGAGCAAACAAAUAGAAUAUGAAAACUGUAUAUAUAUACAGAGAAAACAAAAAUAGGAAUGCAAACUGUCAUAUUACUCCCAGGUGUGAAGAGCCAAAGCUAUUUUCAAGCAGUAUUAUAAGCUAGCUCUAGAUUUUACUCCAUAGUAAACAGAAUAGUUUUGUAAGGUAGCUCUAGAUUUUAUACGAUUCAAAAAAGCAGCAGAUGGACACAUGAUUGUACAACUGAUGCAUAGUCACCCUCUUCUUGGAAUAGCCCACGGCUUAUACAUAUAGAUGAAAAUUUCAUCCAAACAUGCCAGUGUUUUUAGGCCAUUAAAUGGAGAGUGAUGCAUUUUUUGUUUGUCAAGUCCCUAUUGACCCACAGGGCAAACAGUGGUGUUUUACCAGGCCAACUAUUUUCAAAAUUUCACUAAACAGAACCCAACACCCAAAAUUAAUAGAGGGACGUUCUCCUCAUUAGCAUACAGACUGCACAGAGGUGAGCUAUAUGGACUCUACAACCAGCAGCAAGUGCAAGAUGUGUAGUGUGUAUGCCUAGUUGCCUACCAAGUUCUACUUCAUUCUACUAGUCAGAACUCUCUAAGGCGUCCGCCUUGCCUUAUGCCUUACCGCUUAGGCGGUGAGGCGCCCCCCCAGCGCCUUGCCUCGCCUUACUGCCUUAAAAACAUAGCUCAUCAGUUACCUACGCCAUCUCACAACGCCAAAAACAUCCAUUCAUGGCAGAGAAUAUAUCAUCCACCACCGCAACGGAAAAGGAAACAUAAACGAAUUAAAUGAGCAUGUAAAGACAAUAAAAGAAAAUUGUGCUUAAAAAGAACCAGGUCCAUACGCCUUGAGAUGGUUCAACAAAGCAGUAGCAUGGCAAGGAUCAAGAUAGAACUUCAUGUCACGCUAUGGUCAUGCAUUACUGAAACGAAAAAAGGGACGUUGAAGAUAGCUGACCUCAAUGCAUAUUUUUUUGCUGAGGGGGGCAAGACUGCUACCAGAUUUUGUUUCAGAUUUCAGGUUUAACCAUCCACAAAAGUAAUUAGUAGUCUUAAGGUUCAGUUGCAAGCUCAAAGCUGUAAUCACCACAAGAUUGAGUGUAUGUAUAGCAGCUCAGUAAAGACAAACUGAGUAUAUGUAUAGCAGCUUAGUAAGGCAAAAUUACAAACAUACAUAGGUUGAUCAUGCAACGGAUAUGCCAAAAAAGAUUGGCUUGUACAUGAAUUAAUGGAUAUAUACAGGUUGAGUACUUCAGUUGCCUACAAACACAUAAAAUGGACAAUGAAUAUUUGCCUACUACAGCAAAACCUCAUCUCUGUUUGCCUGCAUAUUGUGUUGGUUGCCUACAAACCAAAAAUCGAACCGCAGGGAUUCUGUAUAGUUGACACAAACAAAAUGCCUAAACUGCUUUUCUCAAGAUCCCGUGACUGAAGGUCGUGGGUACCAAAUUGUAAUAUAUGAGCAUUAGUACCUCUUAGGUAGCACAGAAAUUCGUUGGAACUUCAACAAGAGCGGAACGGAGGCGAAUACACGGGCACAUAAAUUAGACAAAUAAAUGAAAGAUAAAAAUAGCUUUUCUGAAUAAUGUAGAGGCCCAGCCACUUGUUGUUGAUCUUGCAAGAUGUGUUGGGAUCCCACAAGAAUCAAAUGCCUCAGGAAUCUCCUCCCUGCAUGAUCCAGUGCCAACAAAAUUCUGAGAUGAUGAACACAAGAGGGAAACAAAAAGGCGGCGGCCGUACUGUGGAGGUGCAGCGGCCGCAGAUGGAUCGAGGACCUGGUGGUUGGAUGGAUGACGAGGACGCCAACGACGGAUGACCUCAAGGCCAACCAACGGCUCCGGCGUCAGCCAUGGCGGCCCGGACACCAAGGACAAGGGCGUCCUCCUCCCCAACCACCACUUUUCCU
rnacentral:lncRNA from 1 species